GGGGCUGCACUGGUUUCGACGUGGGUUCGGAAUCGCAGCGGUGCAUGUCGAGCUGAAUGCGCUCGUAAAACAGAUUCAAACAAACUAACUGCAAACGACGAACGUUUCGCACUCGCUGCUUAAUUGCCAGUGAGCCUUGCAACAGUUGGCCGAUGGGCUGG
rnacentral:tmRNA from 1 species